rnacentral:lncRNA from 1 species
AUGAGGAGGCCACACUUUGCAUUGCUGGGAGGAAACCUGAUCCACGCAGAGACCCUUUCCGCUCGGGUGAUGUACCGGGGCUUGGCUGGAUGCAGCCCUAAGGAGGAAAGAGGGUCCUCUCAGGGAGAGAUACAGCUGCACCCCAGGUUGUUUCUGCACACUAUCAUCUCUCUGGGUGAAGCAGAGCUGCUGUUCUUGCUCUGUGCUUGUGUUCUCACAGAAGAGGAGCCCAGGGUGGGGAGGAGGACCUCUCUGUGCAACACCUAUGCAGGUAAGCCAGGAUUAGCAGUGCUGAAGAGGAACAAAAUAUAAUUGAUGUGAACUUAAAGGUAAGGAAGAAUCAUUUCAGGCAUAUUCCUUCUCAGAAUUCUGGCAACACAGAAAGCCUUCACUUUCUAGCAAUUUCUUGCAAUUGAAGUAAUCUGCUUGAGACUCAGAAACAGAACUACUGCUCAUAGAACCAUUUUUCAUCUUCUCAGCCCUCUUUGAUGUCUAAGAAGCAAAAAUUAGGGACGAGGAUGAGCGGAGGAGGAGACAGAUGGGGCAGGGGCAGCCAUGGGGGAACUGGUGGUGGGGAGCUGUUAUGCUGCGAGUGUUAAUUGUGAAAGGAGAAGGCCUGGCACCCUUUCCUGACUGCUGACCCUGAAGGUCAGCUUCUAGCAGUCACUCCAUUAGCUCAAGCAUAACGCUCCAAUACUGCAAGCUCCAUCUAUGCUGUAAUUCUAUAUCCUACAUAUGAAUGGGCUACACUUCGAGGUGCCCAUAUAGCGUCAGUUACAUCCCUGAGGUUUGUCUCUUCAGCAGAUUUAAUUAUAUGAUUAUAUACCAUUUUGUCCACAGGAUUUUGCCUCUGACUGUGCAUGAGAUGGAAUUGCUCUGGGGAUGAAUAAGAGGUGUGUAGCAAAGGAGCCAUUUGUCUGCAGGUUUCAGAUUUCAUUUCUUUCUGGAGUCUGAAUAAAGCUGAUUGGUAUCUAACA